GACGAACCGUGCGAACGUUGUUCGGAAUCACUGGGCUUAAAGGGCGCGUAGGCGGGCGACCAAGUCAGGGGUGAAAUCUUUCGGCUCAACCGGAAAAUAGCUUCUGAUACUGGCCGUCUGGAGGGAGGUAGGGGUCUGUGGAACUUCUGGUGGAGCGGUGAAAUGCGUAGAUAUCAGAAGGAACGCCGGUGGCGAAAGCGACGGACUGGACCUCUUCUGACGCUGAGGCGCGAAAGCUAGGGGAGAAAACGGG
rnacentral:rRNA from 1 species